GACGAACGCUGGCGGCAUGCCUAACACAUGCAAGUCGAACGGAGAAUCGCUUCGGUGAUUCUUAGUGGCGAACGGGUGAGUAACGCGUAGGCAACCUGCCCUUUGGAUGGGGACAACAUUCCGAAAGGAGUGCUAAUACCGAAUGUGACGAUUUUUUACCGCAUGGUUUAAUCGUGAAAGAUGGCCUCUACAUGUAAGCUAUCGCCAAAGGAUGGGCCUGCGUCUGAUUAGCUAGUUGGUGGGGUAACGGCUCACCAAGGCGACGAUCAGUAGCCGGUCUGAGAGGAUGAACGGCCACAUUGGGACUGAGACACGGCCCAGACUCCUACGGGAGGCAGCAGUGGGGAAUCUUCCGCAAUGGACGAAAGUCUGACGGAGCAAUGCCGCGUGAGUGAUGAAGGUUUUCGGACCGUAAAGCUCUUUUGUUUAUGACGAAUGUGCAUGAUGUGAACAAUGUUGUGUAAUGACGGUAGUAAACGAAUAAGCCACGGCUAACUACGUGCCAGCAGCCGCCGCGGUAA
rnacentral:rRNA from 1 species